AGUGAACGCUGGCGGUAGGCCUAACACAUGCAAGUCGAACGGCAGCACAGUAAGAGCCUGCUCUUACGGGUGGCGAGUGGCGGACGGGUGAGGAAUACAUCGGAAUCUACUUUUUCGUGGGGGAUAACGUAGGGAAACUUACGCUAAUACCGCAUACGACCUACGGGUGAAAGCAUGGGAUCUUCGGACCUUGCGCGAUUGAAUGAGCCGAUGUCGGAUUAGCUAGUUGGCGGGGUAAAGGCCCACCAAGGCGACGAUCCGUAGCUGGUCUGAGAGGAUGAUCAGCCACACUGGAACUGAGACACGGUCCAGACUCCUACGGGAGGCAGCAGUGGGGAAUAUUGGACAAUGGGCGCAAGCCUGAUCCAGCCAUACCGCGUGGGUGAAGAAGGCCUUCGGGUUGUAAAGCCCUUUUGUUGGGAAAGAAAAGCAGCAGGUUAAUACCCCGCUGUUCUGACGGUACCCAAAGAAUAAGCACCGGCUAACUUCGUG
rnacentral:rRNA from 1 species